GUAAAUUUAUGUACACGCACUGCAAAUUAUUUGUUCAGGUUUGAUUUUCCUGCUCUUGUUUGUCAGUUUUUGGAGCUGUUACUGCAGGGAUUUCUGAACUGCUUUGGCAAUUUUCUGUAUGCUCUUCCAAAUACCUGCCACCUCCAUCCCUGCUCCCCCUGUACAGACACUUUCCUGCUGAAGCCCAACCAGUUAGGUUACGCCAAAGUUGAAUUUCACUCACGGAUGUUGGCUGCUCUGCAAUGCCUUGACUGCUCAAUUUUCUUUUCCCUCAAGGCCAAAAUUAAGUCUGAUUAGAACACAUACUAAAAACUGGAUUUGGCAAAGGUAAAAUAUAUGUGAAAAUGAUGAUAAAAUAAAUCCUUUCAUUUUCACGAUGCCAAAUAAGCAACAAAAGUCACGUGACAUAGGAAAAAUGCCCAGUUUAUCACCUUGGCCAAAAUCUUGUCACACGAGCAUGUUUGGCAGUCAGUGCUGAACGGAUUAUGAAUUUUUUAAUCUUGCAGAAAAACAAUUUUUAAUUUUGAAGAAUGAGGAUCAUUGUGGAUAAAGAUGGCACUGGAAGAAUCCUUCUAAGCGUUGUGUAUGUAGUUGGAAGGAGUUUGUGCAAGUAUUCAGUAAUGCAUUAAGCAUUUGUAGGAAGCAAUAAGAACAAAUACUCAAAAUUACUGCAUAUCUUUGCUGAAGAUCAGAACAUUACUUUAACUUAUCUUGACAAAAGGAAUCUUUUCUGUGGUAGUCUUUUCCCUACUGAUGAAGUGUGCCAUACCUUGUAUGUGUAACUGUGCAGUGACACAGGCUAUAAGAAGAAAAAAGCUUGGAUUUCAGAUUUCUACUUGCUUUUGGUGUGCUUAAUACCAGUGUUAACAAAUUAGGUCACAUAGAAAUUAAAGUAUUGCUUUGGUUAUGGAUCCAGUUAUCUUGUUGGCCAGAACCAUGACCUUACUUAUGCUUGGUUAUCUUAAAAGCAGUAUCCUUAUUUUGUUUUUUUUUUUUUCUAGAAAAGCAAAAUCAAACCUCUCUUAUAUUUAACUUCUUAAAGUUAUUGAUUGCAAGCUAUUUUAAAUAAACUUAGUGACUCAGAAGAUGCUGGAAAUUUGAAGUAUUUUGAUAUAUGCACCAUAGGAUAAUUGUUCUACUUCAGGGUGAUAUUUAGCUAUAUUACCCAUGACAAGUGUGCUGUUUCCCUUCUCUGUGCUUGUAACUCUAGGAGUAUCUUCUGUUCAUCUGAAGAUGGUUGACUGACAACAUCAGAGGCAAAUGUUGGUGGUAUGGCAGUAAAGGCUGAAAUUUCCCACCAGUAUUCCGUUAUGUUUUGUUGCUGUGUGACAGAGGGCAGCAGAGGAGCAGUCUGACAAGGAGGUUUGUAUGAAGCAAAGGUGUGUCAAUGAAUUCCUCCACGUGGAAAACAUUACACCCACUGACAUUCAUCGAUGCUUGCUGAAUGUUUAUGGAAACCAAACAGUGGAUGUGAACUCAAUGAGGCAGUGGGUGGUGUGUUUCAGCAGUGGUGACAGUGAAAGUGAUUCACCUCUUUUGGUGCAUAUCUUUAGAAGUGCAGCAUGCAGGCUCUUGUUCAUGGAUGGUGAAAUGUGGAGCUCAUGGUGGUCACUGUGUUAAAAAAUAGUGUUUUCUAGCUUAGAAUUUGCUUUAUCAAAUAGUGUUAUUGUGCUCCUUGUAUCUAGUGCAUUUUCUAUGUAAAUAAAUAGGAGGCAUUAUUUUCAGAGUGACGUACAUAGACCAAUUAUAUUAAUUAAGCAGCAUUGUGUAAGCAGUUUUUUCCAAAACCAUCAUGGUUUCUUCUCAUCCAAAUAUCACAUAAUAAAAGUGAUAUGAUGAAAAGAAUAUUCUCCACCAUUUUUACUCAGGAAAAUAGGUUUGAAAUGUACGAAUCACAGAAUCAUAGAAUGGACAUUACUUUUCCUGAAAGCCAGAACUGGAACACUCCCCUUAAAAGUAAUAAAAAUUAUUACAAUCAGUUUAAAGGAAAAGGUUUAUAUACAGAUAAUAUAUAUUAACGUUUUAUAUACAUAUAAGAUGGAGGCAGAGGAAUUGAGUUCAUCUGGGUGUCAGUGAGGCUAUAGAAUCCAGAGCUGGGAUGGAAAACACUUGCAAGAGUAUCAUUCUCAGGGACAAAGACAAAGUGAGGGAUCCAGAGGAAAAUGUGAAGGAGAGAACUACGGAAGAUCCCUAUGACCUUGAAAGAGAGUAUAGAUGGAAAUUCAGAGGAAUGUUUUUUUUUUUUCUACGUAUCCAAUGUAAGGAACAGAGGAAAUCUUGAAAAGCUGGACCCCAGACAUGCAGAAAACCUGAUCAGUUACUCAUAAUUACCUGGAUAAAAUUCAUGCUCUUGAAUAAGACUGAUAGAUACACAACUUCUGUCAGAAAAAAAGUAUAUUUAACUAUGUGAAUCUGAUUAAAAGUUACUACACUGGGACAAUAAAAAUAAGCAACAAACAUAUUAGCUUAAAAAUAUAAUGAAUAAUUGUAAAAAAGGAGGAUUUCAAUCUUAAUUAUUUGACUUUAGGGUCAAAUUCUGAGUGCAAUUAUAGAAAGUUCAUUGAAGACAAUAAAUAAAAAAAAGAAACAAAUGAGGGGGAAAAAUGGUGCUUCUGUGAGAUUCCGUAUAACUGCAUUUUUUUUUCUCAAAGAUUGAGGUUAAUCUUUUGUAGUUAUAUUUUAACUUAAUCUGUUUUGAUUUACAAAAGGUAUUAAAUUUUCUUUUCUUACUCCUGCACCUCCAUUACAAAAUUUUACGUUCAGUAUUCAUUCCAAACAUGGAUAAUUUCAUUUCCCCUUACUCUUUUCCAUGCAUAGAACAAGCACCAUUGGUUAGACUGACAGAGCUUACUGGUUGCUCAGAAGCAACAUACGGUCACCCUAGAGCUUUCCUUUGAAAAGUCUGAGGCCCUUGCAUUAUGUCCUUCUGCCUUGUAUCAUCUUUUCUCUUGAAUGGAGUGACGUUACUUCCUAAAGCAACUGUGUUCUGUGAAGAGUUCUGAGUAGUGUGUUGAUUCCGCUGAGAGGAAUAUAUGCUAUGAGACAGCCUGACUUCACAGAACAACUAUUUAUGUCACAGAAAAUAAGUCCCUUGGCAGAGAUAUACCAAAAUAAAUUCUUUCAGAAAUCAAUGGUCGUGACUUUUGAAGAUAAAAUUGAGCUUUUCUAAUGUUAAUAAAUUUAAGUUAAAUUAUGAUGGUUUUUUUUUUUUUUUUUUGAGUUUUGUGAAAUAAAUUUACUUACUUCUUGAAGCUGCCUGUCAGUAAUACAGAGGACCUGGGAAUAAGAGAACUGCUCAUCUCUAAUGAUCUUUGCAUGUACUUCUCCCACAGGUCAUUGUUAGAAACCAGUUUUUUCUUUAUAGUGAACCAGUACUUCAGCUCCUGCGUAAAGCAUUGCUUGUCCCUUAAACAUAGGCUUUCACCUGUCAACUCAAAUUUGCCUGCUCAAAUAUGUAUUUGUAUUGUGUUGCCAGUGCACAGUUUAGAGUGCAAUUCUUUAGGGCAGUAUUAGUAAUUUCCUUGCAAGAAAUAGUAUCUUCCUUGUAACAACUGCACUAUGUGUAAAGCCUAGGGCAUUGCAACACUGAAUAGAAGGAAAAUACUUGUUUUGCCCUUACUGUACAAGUGAGAAGUGGGAUGUAUUCAAAGACAGAGACUUAUUUGUUUAUGAUUUCUAUCAGUGAUUGCUUAUCAUAAAUAUCUUCAUUUUUCUGAUUUUUCUCAUGGUAGACUGAAAUGGAGUAUUAGUAAUAGUUUGAGAUGCCUUUCUUGUGUAGCUGACAUUCUCAAAUCUAAAGCUUAAUUCCUGGAUGGGAAAUGUUGUCUGCAGUUUUGGGAAUAGAUUGGUAUCUGCAGGACAGGGCCUAAAGAAUAAAGAGGAAAAGACCAUCUAUUAUCAAUAAUCUUAAGGAUACCAAAGCUGAAAGAAUUCUUUUUAACAAGGGAAUGUCUUACCAGUGGAGAGCAAAAGCAGAAUGAUGAGAUCUUAUUUAAGUUAAGUGCUUUUUAGUAAACAAAUUGAGCGGUCAUUUAUCAAAACAUUGAUUAGUAAAAGGUUUGCACCGUUCUUAUAGUGUGUCCACUGAUGGAUGUUAUCUUAGGAGAUGGCAAAUAAUAUUGCAGAGUGGCUGGAACCGUUUGAACUCAUCAGCAUGAUAUCAGCAAGUAAAGCGUCAGCAGUGCUCUUGUCUAAGAAUGUUUUGUUGGCGCAACUCAGUGUACAAGACUGACUCUGGUUCUAGGUGGAGGGGAAUGACAGCUUGGUGGACUACCUUGGACAACUGAUACAUUACAGAUACAGAAGAGUACAACCAUGCAGGAAAACACUGAAAUCUUGUUGAUGAAUUUAUUCAAACAGUGGACUUUUAAGGCUCAGGAUAUGUUUUAGAAGAUACUAGUAUUAAUAUAGUAUGUUCAACUGUCUCCAUCAGACAAGCACAGUAUCUGAUUCUUAUCUGUGAGAGUUUUAGAAAAUGGCUUAGCCGCUUAUGUGCUUGAGUAGUUAUGCCAGCAUAGUGCUGCAUAACUCAAGGUCAGGAGUUACUGACAAGAUGUCAGUGUUUGCCUGUGCUUGUUGCAGCACGGGGACUUGUGAUAUGUCAAGCUGCUGCUCUUUUGCAAGUGAGAAGCAUCAUCAGAUGCAAUGAGCCAGUUUUUAUCCUGUAAAUCCUUGGAGCAGCAGCUACAAAUUCUGUUCUUGUGCUGCCGUGGUGUGAAAAGGGGAAUGGUACUCUUUAAUAAUACCAAAUGUAUUCAUGCUUGCCAAAAUCUAUUUCAUAGUUUAUUUUAUUUUAUUUUAUUUUGUUUUGUUUUGUUUUUUAUUUAGAAGUCAUUUGCAGAUCUUCAACCUGGAUUACUUGAAAUAGCACAGCUGACACUGAUACAGUAUUUUUUUAAAGCUGGUACAAUCUGCACCUUUUUGCAAAAGCCUGCUGGGUAAUAGCAGAAACAAACAAUGGAAACGAGGCAGAUCAGUGUGAGAGAACAAACAUAAAUCUAAGAUGCUGAAUCCCUGGGAGACAGGAGUAGCUUCCAUUAUGAAUAAUUCUUCCUUUCUUAAUUUAUUUCCUGUCUCCCUCCCCCAGUGUUUCUGUUACUCUAUAGGACAUCCUGUUACUCAUUUAGAUCAAUAGUAGACUCUCAACAUAUUUGAUUUUCUGUUCUUCAUUCAGUUUUACAGACAGAAUAGUCAGGAGGGUGUGGACAGUAAAGGGAAACAAACAGCAAUGCUAAUUUCAGUAUUUCUUCAUUUUGAAAACCUUGUUUUACAUUUUCUUUAUAUUCAAUCUUUGCAUACAGAGUAGUAUACUAUUUAAAUGUGCAUUUUAAGUGAUUAUGAUCUGGCUGAAAAUAUUGUCACAAUGAGUUCUGGAGAAAAAAUGAGGAGCUAAAUGAUGGUGCUUUGUUUUGGAAAGUCUGUAUCAUUUAGUUCUGGCUUAAUAAAUGGCGCACUAUGUCAUGAAGUCUUCAUGAGCUUUAGAAAAACUGUAUUGUUCUGUAUAUAGCUAGAAAGAUUACUGACAGGAUUUUUGACCAGCUUCUGGGUCAUAACACCACCAUUUCCAAGGUCAGAUUUGAUUUUUGCUGCUUAGGUUGAUUUUCAGAAUGGGUACUGAAAGGGGUAGUGCUUGUAUGUAAGUCACUCUGAAAGUAAUGCCUCCUAUUUAUUUCUAUGGAAGAGAGCACAAUCACACUAUUUGAUAGAGCCAAAUUCUCAGGCAUCAAUGAAUGCCAGUGGGUAUCAUUUUUUUCCAUAUGAAGGAAUUCAGUGACACACCUUUGCUUCACAUGCACUUCCAUGUCAGAUGGUAUUCUGACAGACUGCCCCUCUGCUGCUCUCACAUCAAUGAAAUAUAACAAAAUAUUAGUAGGAAGUUUCAGUCUCUACUGCCAUAUCACCAACAUCCACCUCUGAUGUCAUGAGCCAGCAUAAAGUAGGAGGCAUUAUUUUCAGAGCACUUUCCUAGGAUAGUCACAAAUAACACAAUCUCAUCCCAUCUGAAUUUCACAGAAGAUCAUUUAUUUUUGCUUCCCCAAAUAUCUUUUGAUUUCCUGGAAUUCUUAGGCUUAUGCUUUUAAUCCCUUUUCCGCAUGCAGAACUGACUAUGGGUAGGAAUCUAUUUCUACAUCUUCAUGGGUAUUUUCACAGUGCAGUUGUUGAUCAUAGAAUCAUAGAAUCACGAAGGUUGGAAAAGUCCAACUGUCUACCAAUCAUCAAUAUAUCCCACUAACCAUGUCCCUCAGUACAAAACCUAAACAUUUCUUGAACACCUCCAGGGAUGAUGACUUCACUACCUCCCUGAGCAGCCCAUUCCAGUGCCUGACCACUCUCUCAGAUAAAUAGUUCCUAACAUCCAAUCUGAAUCUCCCCUGGCGCAACUUGAGGCCAUUCCCUCUAGUCCUAUAGCUAGUUACAUGGGAGAAGAGGCUGACGCCCACCUCACCACAACCUUCCUUCAGGUAGCUAUAGAGAGUGAUAAGGUCUUCCCUGAGCCUCCUCUUCUCCAGACUAAACAAUCACAGUUCCCUCAGGCACUUCUCAUAAGACCUGUGCUAGAAAACCCUCACCAGCUUUCUUGCCCUUCUCUUGACACGCUCCUGGGCCUCAAUCUCUUUCUUGUAGUGACAGGCCCAAAACUGAACACAGUACUUAAGGUGCAGCCUCACCAGGGCUGAGUACAGAGGGAUGAUUUCUUCCCUGCACCUGAUGGCAACACCAUUUCUGAUACAAGCCAGAAUGUCGUUGGCCUUCUUUGCCACCUGGGCAUACUGCUGGAUCAUGUUCAGCCAAGUGUCAACCAAAUCUUCCAGAUCCAUUUCUUCUACAGAGUCUUCUAGCCAUUCUGCCUCAAGCCUGCAGUGUUGCCUGAGAUUGCUGUGGCCAAAGGCAGAACUUGGCACUUGGUCUUCUUGAACUUCAUCCCAUUGGUCCCAGCCCAGUUAUUCAGCCUGUCCAAAUCACUCUGUAGGGCCUUCCUAUCAUGUGAACAAAGCCAUGUUUCCUACAUACUUGACACUCUGAAAAUGUCUGGUGUGUCUGAAGGUGUGAAACGUGUUCAGAGGAAAAGUAGCUUUUUUCUUAUAAGCAUUACACAUCAAUUUUCUAGGAGAUAGGGGAAUUUCAAGUAAAGAUAAGGGUUUCUUCAGUUGGAUUAGGACAAUGAAUGCAGAACAUCAGUGAAUGAAAAGAAAGUUUAUCAUACUGGGGUAUGGAUCUAGACAUCUGGAAAAUAAACCAUUUUCUUUUUUAUUUUUUAUUCCCUCAGAAGGAAAGUGUAUCAGAGGGGGAAAAAAAAAAAACCCUCAUUCUGAUUUGUCUUACAUAUUUUUGAUUUUUAGCUUGCUUCACUUCACUGUUUUUGUAGGAGAUUUUCCUUAGCUGCCUCUGUAAAACUUUCUUUUACUGUGAAUUUAAACAAAAUUUUGACAGCUGUCAUGCUAGGGAUGUACUGGCAAUGCUGCCUGUCAGGAUGACCAACUGUGUCACUGUUUUCUUGUUCUUCCAUCUGUCUGUCUUUUUCUGUUUGUCAUUUUUGUCCCUCUCAUACUAAAAGUGCCUUUAACAUAAGGAACAUUGUUUUUUCAAGGUGUUUCGUACAGUACGUAACACAAUAGGUACUAAUGCAUGUGAUACCCUUGUGUUUUAUUCGAUUUAUUCAGUUCCCUUUUCUAACAGGAAAACUCCUAGCAGGUAAAAAAAGAUCAGCCCUCUGUUAUACCAAAUACAGGAAAUCAUUGCAAUUAUAAUUUUGACAAGAGUCUAAGAUGUUUAAAGAAGGCAUUAACUUCUGUCAGUUCUUACUUCUUCACUAAAGCUGAGCUCAUGCCUUUAUGCAAGGAUUGAAUAAUCCAGUCAACUAAUUAACUAUACCUUCUGUCAUUUUUUUGAACUCUUUCAUUUGGGAUUGCAUGAAUGUUUUCCACUGUAACUUAGGGAACCUAAUGUAAGAUAGGGAAUUGUCAUUUGAGCUAAUCUAGACAUAUUCUUUCCUCUAUUUAAGGAAUAAUAAUGCUAUGAGGACACAUUUAUUGCACAUCAAAUUAUUCAGGUCUUUUGUGUUCAUUGAAGCUCAUUUAAACAAAAAUCUGAUAAAGGAAUAAAUAUAUAAUCAUAAGUAAAAUAAUGCAUACUGGAUAUAGAUGACGUCUAAUUCUAAUGUUAAUGGACUUAGAUACCAGAAGAUAGACAUUUAUGCUUCUCUAUUCUACAUUGCAUAAAUCACCUGAUUAAGUAUGUUAAGCUUAUAUGCCAGCACAGUAUACAGCUGUGUUCAAGAUUAACCCUUAGUAUGCAUAUCCAUCCCCACAGUCUUCUGGUAAUGCAUGCUCCAUUAACUACCCCUGAAUUCCUGACAUUUCUCCAUCAUUUUCAACAGGACAUGAUGUGGCCUGCUGCUACUUUCUGCUUGCCUGAUUGCCUGCUAAAGUCCAUUCCUCUUGGCACUGCUUACACCAGCUCCAGCUGCUCCACAUUGCUUUGCAGUAUCAACAUCUACCUCCUCAAAUUUGGAAGACUGGUCACCCUUUGUAGUACUGCUGUGUGGAUGAAUCUUAAUCUUCUUGAAAGUAGGAUAUUAAAGAUGAGAUAAGCCCUGGUAUCUAGAAGUAGUAUAUACUGCAGUCCUAUGAGACACAUAGAUAGAUAGCCAGAUAUAAUCUUUCUCCACUGGAUAUCUUGUCCUUAGAACUAUUACCCUGGAAACACUCCUUAAUAUUUCAAAUCACAUUCCCCUUUUCUUAGGUAUAUUCUAUUUAUCAGACAUAGCCUAGCUACAGAAUGGCCAAUGCUGUUGAGCUCUCAAUCUGUGUAGAAAUGGAUUUUCAUCUUUUGUACAAGCUUGUAUUUUGCUAAACAAUUAAAUAAAAACAAAACACAACAAAACAAAACCUUGUAAAUACCAACCUGUUAGGACUGAUCUGUCUAUAGAUCAAUGAAGUGUUAAAAUCCACCACAGGAAUUAGUCCCAGUAUGACUUGAUACUUCACUCUGAAGCAGAAGUACUUUCAAAAACACAAAUAUCUGGUUUAUUCCCAAAAGCUCUUUUUUCUGGGUCAAUCCCAUGUUUCUUAAAUACUGUCAUGACAUUGAGGGGAAAGCUGUGCGCAUGUGAGAAGUCGGAAGCUUUGACACAUUAGGCAAACAAGAAGUCAGUUUAGUAUUAUGCAUUAAUGAAAGAGAAUGAAAAUAAAAAUCAGCUGAAAGCAAAUCCCACCUGCAAACCACUUCAGCAAGGUGUAUGAAGCAAAGGACAUCUGUGACCACAAUGUCAUACACUGAGGCAUUAUGGCUUCACACUGCAAUCUGCCUCUGAGCAGUCAUUUGAUAACACUGCAAUCCAGGAAUGCAGCUGUUCCUUUCUGCAAAUUUAAUGAUCCACAUAUCUUAAAAGGCAUUUUCUUUCAUAUUUUUUUAUUUACUUCUUUUGUGUUAUGUUUUGUAUCAGUGAAGAUAGAACAUUACACAGUCAUCAGGGAAAUUAUGUUUUUCCUUUUUUUUUUUUUUUUUUGAUCAUUCAAGACUUAUAUUCACAGUAAUGAGGCUUCCAGGUUUGUGCGGCUGUGAGAUGAACUGCAUUUUGCAUCACUGUCUUCACCUUCAUGUCUGGGGUUGUUGCCUUCACCUUCCUCCUGAUACUAGCCCUGAGGCACAUGUUAUCUCAUAUCCACAUGCAUUCUGUCAUGUCUCACUCUUUGAAUGAAUACAAAAACAUUUUGAGAAAAUGGAAAAUGGAGGGCUGGAUUGAAUUUUGUAGAUAUGCAUGUAGGAGACACUGCAUGCAGAUUCCCACUUUCCUGCCUCCGGGUGGUGGCUGUAGGAAGCAACUGCCUUGACAUUUCUGUCUUUCUUUUGUGGAAACCUUAUGCAGCCUUGUUCAAUCACACAAUCACAGAAAAUCACAUUCACUGGUGUUGGAAGGGCCCUCAAGCAAUCAUCAAGUCCAACGCCUCCGCUAAAGCAGAUACCCUACAAUAUGUCUCACAGGUAGCUCUCCAGGCAGGUCUCGAAUGUCUCCAUAGAAGGAGCCUCCACAACCUCCCUGGACAUCUCUGUUCCAAUGCUGUGUCACCUUUGCCAUAAAGAAGUUCUUCUGCAUGUUAGUACGAAGCUUCAUAUGCUCAAGUUCAAGUUUGUUUAUGUAUUACCUCUUGUUUGCAACUCCACAUUCAGCUCCAACUCUAAGGGAAGGAUGACAAGUUCAGUCUAACAUAGCAAACAUAGCAUGGAUUCAGCAACAAGACAACUUGGAUGGGCUUCAGUUGGAUUCACUGAAAACUGAACAGCAAUGCUGUAAGAGGUUGGACUUCUGCUCCAAAAUUUCUGUUUUCCCUCUGGGCAUGUUAGGAUAAGAAUAUUCUGCUCUUUGCAAGAAUUUGGAUGAAUCUCAGUAUAUAGUGCUUUUCUUUACAUGUUCUGUGUUUAGAAAAACCUUUUUAAAAUACUGAAUGUAUAUUAUUAUUGUACGAUGUUAUCUCUACAAUAGGUUUGUACUUUGAACUACUGGUUAGAAAACUUCUUAAAUAACUAUUAAUAAUGAAUCAGCCAGAUUUAGAGUCAAGGGCCAAAUUCUUUUAUUUUGAACUCUGACUAUAUUGACUAAAAAUCAUUUCUAUUUAAAAGAUCCCUGCAGGAACCUUCACUGUGGACUGUUUCUCAAGGCUUGAUUUGCAUAUCACCAAGACCUAUCUUCUCCUAUUUUUCCCCGAGAUGUUAUCUCUGCAAUAUCUUUCUUCUGUACCUCCUGGCAACUUUAUAGACUGCUCUCCUAUGGCAUGCUAAUAUCAUUGCCACUAGCCAAAAGAAUUUGCACAAGACAAAGGUGGAUAAUCCUAGGUUACAGUUUCAUUUGAUAAUCAAUAUGGAGAACAACCUCCGUGUUGAACCUCAUGUAGGUAGUAAAUCCAGCCAUAUUGAAGCAUGUACAUAGUUUGCUCUAGAAGUAAUGCCUCCUAUUUGUUUCCAUGAAAACUACGACAUAUAGAAAUAAUGUUUAAAGAAAAGGUGUGCUUUACGUUACUCCAUGUGGAAAAAUUUCACCUAUUGACAUUCAUCAGUGCUUACUGAACGUUUAGGGAGACUAAGAAGUGAGUAUGAACACAGUGGUGGGUAGUGCAUUUCAACAGUAGCAACAGAAACGGUGGCUCACCUAUGCUGGUGCAGAUUUUUAUGACUAUGGCAUGUAAUUUCUUGUUCAUCACAGUAAAAAUGCAUAUCUCAUGGUGGUGAUUAUGUUGAAAAAUAGUGUUUUGUAGCCGAGAAUCUGCUCUGUCAAAUAGUGUUAUUGUGCUCUUUGUAUCCAUUGUAGUUUCCAUGGAAAUAAGUAGGAGGAAUUACUUUCAGAGCAAGCAAUAUACAUAAAGCACCCCAUUGAAUUCAAUAGGAAUAUUGACAUAAGGAAGGAAUGUAGGGCUAAGCCUUUGAUUCCUGUAGAAUUCUUCUUUAACCAAACAAAAUAUUAUUCUGUGUUUGGAUUAUGUUCAAUUAGAACUUAGAAAUUAUUGUUUGUCUGUGAGAUGCCAUUCACAUGACUAUCUUCUCAUAAGUGAUUUAUACUACAUGCUCUUAGGACUAUGUCAUGUGAAAAGUGAAAUAUUUAGAUAGCCAAAUAUCUGACACAAAAGUAUAUGACAAUCACACACACACAACUGAAAGUCCAAGAAAUCACAUCACCCAAAUUGCUCAUAUCUUUCUCUCUCACUGUUUGUGUUGGUUUCCUUUCAGUAGAUACAACUGCAGAUCUUUGGCCUGUGCCACAUGUCAAAUAAGGAUAAGAACCUUCCCCAUGGAAGUCAGUUUUCAAAUUUAAAUGGAACAGAUAUGUAAAUUUUAACACUUUCCCUACAUAAUAUACGCAUUUGAACUGCCAGAUUGUUCAGGUGUACAUGCAAGGGGUAGGUUGUACAUGCAAGAACCCAUUUAUGCUGAUGAAGAAAAUGAUGUAUGGAAAAUAAAAUACAUUUAAAGCAUGCACUGUGGCAUGUACUGACUUUACCAGAAUAAUUGAGGGAAUUAAUAUUGAAUACCCGAUCUAUGGAGACAAAAAUACUAAAUAGCCUAAUGUCACUGAGAAAGAAGCAGAGAGCAAAGGAUUUCCACAUUUUUUCUCUUACAAAAUUUUGAUGGAUUCUGAUCUUUUUUUUGUGUGUGUGUGCUGUUUUUCUCAAACCCAAUGUGAUGACAGAAAACCUUGAAUGCAGAUUUCUUAUUGUUGUGCAAUUGCUGGGGAAAUUGUAAAUAGCUGGAGUUUAGAUUUGAAAGUAUGUAACUACUCCAUUUCCAUCUGAAUUAACAUGUAAUACCUUUUUUAAUUCUGUAUUUAUCACAGGAAAUAUUUUUUGCUUGAAGUAUAUACUUCUGGGAGUGUGUUCAUUGUCCUGUGUUGUAAUAUCACUUCUGAAAGAAAUAUGUCUUUAAAUAUUAGUGUUCAGUAGGACUGUUCUUAAUCUCUGUUAUUAUAAUAAAUACUGAAUGUCAGACUUUUUCAAAGAUCCAAAUUGGAAAUGUGCUUUUUAUCUCACUAAAAUGAGUGGAAGCUCCACACAUCAUGUACAUUUCAAAGUAGAGAACUGUUAUCCCAAAUAUGCAUUGCAAGGAUAAUUGGAAAGGAUUAAUUUACUUCAUGGGGAUUUGACGGAGAUGAAUGAUCUGUUGUGCUCCCGGGAAAUUGGGAAUUUGGAAUUCUUUACUUUCAGUGGUUGAGAAUUAUCUGUGAAGUUUCUAUGCUUGAGUAGUUUUAAGUGCAUCUGUUCUUGAAGUAAUACAAAACAAAAACUCAGAUUUUCCCUGUCUGGGGUUUAUUCAUGUUACUACAGAUUUUUAAUACAAAAAUUAGAAUAUUGAAAAUAUAUUUUCCCUUUGGUUUUAAUAUUUAUACAGUAGAAAUUCUUGUUAGUGUUAAAAUGGAAUCAUAUAUGCAUUUAUGUUUUUAUAUGCAUAAGUACACCAUAGUUUAGGGUUUGAUGAAAGCCAUCUCAGUAGAAUCAGUCCUUGUUAUACUUGUUUUAGAUUUGUGCUGUUUGAGGCAGAGAGAUACAGAUAGAGGAUUUAUUUUUCAGUCCUAGUAGUUAAUCAAGUUCCUGUAACAGUCAUCUAAUCCCAUGGUUUUACCCAAGUCGUUUUCUCCAUGUUACUUCUACCUUUCUUAAGCAAGGCAAGUUUCUGCCUCAACAUUCUACCUUUGACCUAUUUGACCUUGCCUAUUUCCUUUCUGCUGUACAGCGGGUCAAUAACAGUACUGAGCAAGCAAUCCUCUUUCUAGCAUAUUGCCAGCUGUACAGGAGCUGUUGUGAACUCCCUAGAAAAGCUGAGAUGUGGUGUAAUACUUACGUUCACCUGCAAUCAGCAAUUUUAUGGUGCUAUCUCUGAAAAGCAGAGGGGAUUGAGUGGAUGUGCCGUGAAAGAAUUGAUGGAAUAUCCACUUUAAUGCUCUCUUAAGAAGGAAGGAGCGUUCUGCAGAAAUCCAGUCCAGCAUAUAUGCUAACACAACAGCAUUUUGGUUUGUUGGACCUCCUGUGGGGAAGACUGCAAAGUGGUUAUAGUUAUACAGGCUGCUGUAGGCAUCUCUGGGCUAGUCUCCCCUCAACAAAGAGACUGUCUAGAAACAAAACCUCCAGGAGCUGUAUUUAUACAUAUAGCUUCAGGGAGGAAUGUGUUCCAGAGCCUCAUUAACUCACCUCUAAGGUUGCAAGAGUAUCCAAUGGUGUGGGAAUAUCAAUGACACUGGUACUGUGGUCCUCAGUGCUCACUUCCACAGAUGCACAUUAGAAAUCUGAAUUUCUCCCUCCUUCAUAGCUGUAUGUGAAUCUAUUUGAAUGUAGAGAUUAUAUUUCUUGUCAUCUAGUACAGUCAGGCAUACAGUUAGACUCAGUUGCAGACUUGAGAAACAAUGAAAUAAAUUAAUUUUAUAAGGGAUACUAAUUUUAUUAGUCAGUGAAAAAAAAAAAAACAAUCAACCUCAACAAAUAAUAGCAGGUACUUAAGAGUAGCUAUAUAGCUAUAAAGUAGCAGUAGGGAUAUGUAAAGAUAGUUUUUUCAUCCAUGAGACAUGAUAAAUCAGUAGGCGAUUUAUGAUGAUAUAAAUCAUGAUAACAAUCAGUGGGAAGAAAUAUUCGAGACAAGAGCCAUGAUGCUUAAUGCUAUCAUCUAUAAUACAUUUGCUCUAUGUUUAGUUGUGCAGGUUAUAAUUGUAUUUAAAGGAUGCCUACAUGUGAACAAGGAUGACAAAAAAAUUCAUCUUGUUACUCCUUUGAACACAGGAGAAUCAGUAGUUAGUAUUGAGGAAAUGUGAGUAACUAUACAGAGAUAUUUUGGUAGUGCAAAGCCUAUGUUCACUCACAAAAGUGGUUUCACAGAGGAUAAGAAAUAGCUCAGAUCCCGUAGUCAGCAACCAAAGUAACCAAGUGCUUGUCAGAUACCAGGCGCUACAGUGCCAUCAGCAAAUCAGGCUAUCUGUUCUUCGGGCAGCUGACUACUGCCUGCUAUUCACAGCUCAGGCUCCAUGUUACUUUGCUCCUGUGUCAGCUGCCAGUCUUCUCCAAGUGAUUCUCCAAGAAACUCCAUUUCUGCAUCUCAAAAUUAUCCCUGUUUGUUGAUACUGCGCAUGACUAAAAUGGUAUUUUCAUAUUUCAGAGCAGUUGAAGCCCCUUAAAGCAGAGGGCUGUGAGUGUGAAAAAGAGAUAUGUUGUUCCCUAAUGGCUUAUUACCAUCUCAUUUGCAAUUCAGAUCAGUUAUAAAUUGACUGAAAUUUUUAAACACAUAGCAGGCAGUUUAAACUAAUGAUUGUCUGGAGGUUCACAUCUGACAUGAACUAAGCUUCUGUUCAAAACAAAUUGCAAAUAAUUCCUCCCUUAGAGUCAAAAUGUCACUUUUUACACAGUGCAUUGUUGCCAGAUUUUGUCAGCUCCAUUAAAAUAAAACCAAAUAAAUAAAUAAAUAAACCCAUCUAGCUAUCCAAUGAGUGUUCUGAACAUAGGGUGACCCUGUUAUUAUCCCUUAUUUACAGUAACAGGGCUUUACAUUUACAGGGCUCUGCACAGACUGCUGAAAGGUCCUUUCUCCCUCAAAAGCCCUAACUGUGGCGAAGGCGCUGGGGUCAGUAGCAGGCCUGGGUUGCCUAGCAAUCCCCUGCAGGCUGCCCAUCGCCCUCCAAGCUCGGCGUACCAUCUGAGUCCUUGCCUCAUGCUUGCCCAUGCCUGCUCAAAUAUUUCCACUGAGGCAGCUGUGUAUGGGUGGCUGUGGUGUGCUGGCGGGACUGUGAGUGCUGUGUGGAUGAGGCACACCGGCCUCCCAGCCACAGAGAUGUGGUAAAACAAUGUUAAUCCUUCGUUGUAUAUAGACAACUGCUUGAAGAAGCGAUUCAGAAUUUGGGUUUAAUUCCAUCAGGAUUUUGAAGUCCACACCUCUCAUGAUGAUAGCAGGGGAAGCUCUUCAAAAAUGCCCAAUGGGGUCACGAGGAACUGUUUAAUGUGUGAUUGAAAUUGGAUUUCCCUUCAAAGAAUAAGCCAUCUAAGGGGGAGUCACUGGAGAAAUCUUGAUGACUUGCAGCUGCUGAUUACUAAUUUUGAAUAGGGUAGUAUUUUGCUAAUUUCUAAAGGGAAUAAGCUUAUGUAGAGGGGAAAAAAAAUAGGUCAGUUCCUUUUGAUGUAAUCCUCAUGUAUUUUUGCUUUCUAGGUGUUGGCCACAGGGAGUUUUUUUUUUCAUGCAAUGUUACUGGGUCAGGUAUCCUGGUUAGAUGUUACUUGAAAGUCUGUGUUACUUGACUGGCUGUCUCGGGCUCAAAAAAAAAGAGGUUGUUUUUUUUCUUUUUCCCCACAAAAUAGCACAAAGAACUCUCUUAUGUACAGCAAACUACUUGUUCGGUUGCUAUUUAUUUAAGUUUUCAUCUUGAACUGUGAACUGAUAUACUUUGUACAGCACUGCAUGUCUCAAAAGUUUAUGCAUAGUGCAUAGCCUUACUUUUUUGUAUUUGAUUACUUUUCUGAUCCCUUAUCCACUGAAAAGUGUUUCUUAACUGUUGCUAAAAUAUUGAGAUGAUGUUGACACCUGCUCAAGGAAAAUUUUAUUGUUGGAGAAAGUAUGGUGAGAUGACACGAUUUUUAAGUAUCAAAACAGAAAUUUCACUGAAAACACUGAUUUUCUUUCUGAAAAUUAUGAAUGCAUAAUUAGUUUUAGUCAGUUUGGGAAGAAGUCGUUAAGCAUUACUUGAUUUAGAAUGUCACUGUAUUUGUGAGGAGAGGAAUGCUGAAACCAAGUGAAAGAGACUUUUCUUUGCUAGAUGAGAACAUUCAUGACAAAUUUUCCUACUACAUAAUCACUGCACGUUAAAAAAAGAGCAUAUUUUAAAGAAUCCUUUCCCCAACCCAAUUUGUUUUUUACGGCAGAUGUUGUUUGUUAUUUGUUUGUUUUGUUUUGUUUUAUAUCUGGAAAGUGACGGGAAAUGUGAAAAAGGCAUUUCUUAAGGUAUAUCCCAAGCUUUAUGAUCUUUCUGGGAAUACCUACCUGCUUGUAGCUAGGUUUAGGAAAGAUAUAUGCACGAAACUCUUACAUUUUUCUUACACAAAUGUAUAUACAUUUGUAUAGUUGAAAUGUGACGCACUUUGUACUCUAUGGAAAAAAAACUGGGUCUCAGCUAACUGAUCAUAAUAAUUUAGAUUAACUAACUGUAAAAUGAGUUGCCUCAUUCAAAGAAGCUUUUGAGUGCUGCCUCUUUCUUUGAUAUGUCUAUGAUGUUGAAGGCUGACUUCACAUCCUGUUUGCCCUGGCUACACUUAAAUGUAUAAAAUAGUCUUGCUGAUGUGGUUUAAGGCUAAAACUCCAUCAAAAGCAUCUUUCAUUGCAUGCUGAGUGCUCAGGAGAGCACAUGGUGUUUCUUAGCCAUCUCUCCAAUAUGUGUUGUGUAUGUUCAAGACUAUAGAUCCAUCAAUCUACAGCUUUGCUCUGCUUUUUUUGUCCCCAGUCAGAAUUAUGCUGUGACAAUAGAUAUAUAACAUUACCCUUAAUUUAGGAGGCAAUUCUAGAUAAGUAAUGCUUUGAUACUGCAGGUGAUGUGCAGGAUAUAAAUAAUUACACAAAUACCAUUAGUGUCUCAGAGUAGCAGUGAAACUUUUUUUUAUUUUUAUUUUUUAUGUUUUUGAGUAAUGAUUUGUAUGCUGGAGAGUUGUUUAAGGGACAGAAAAUAUCUUUGCUGAACAAUGCUACUAUCCACCACUGUAUUAAAAAAGCUUCAAGAUUUGCUUUUGUAUGAGCCUGUGUGUGUCAUAUAUUCACAUAAGUCCUACUUUCUUAGAUGGAAUCUCAAGUGAAAAUAAAAAUAAAUGGAUAUCCUAAAGUCAUUGCAAACCAUUUGUGAUGCUUUUACUUUACAUUUUUUCAUGGUGACAUCCAUCAGAGUCUAAUCUCUUAAUAAACUCAGGCUAUACAUUGCAGCUUCUUCCUUCACGUGGCCCUUGAAAGAGAAUUUUCUAAUACCGUGAAGAUGAUAAAGAAAAUAACCUUUUUUAUUUUCUUACUUUAGUGCAAGAGGGACACAGAAGAACAGAUUCCUUGCAAGUAGCACAAAAGCCACUCUAAAGAAUUGUUGAGCUGUUUAUUGCAUUAUCUUUACACAAGAACCUAUGAUCUGUAUUGCAUGGGUCUCAAGAAGAUCCCAUGUGCAUCAAAUAAAUUCAAGUACUUUUUGUGUUAUUAAGUUUUAGUACAUGUGCUGUAGUUACAGGAUACUGGAACAUCCAAAAGGUUCUGAUGUUUUAGUUAGGCUUCAAAAGGCUUGAAGACUUUUUUGAGCUGCAUGAACUAUAGUUGUCUGCGACGUCAGGCUGGAAAUCUCCCAAGAAUGGCUCCUUGGAAAGAUUAUUGUUAUUUCAGUCUUCUAACUAAAGAAAGAGCCUAUUGUAAUGUAUGAUUAUUGGUGUAAUCCUGCAAACCAUUUACAGUGCUUUCAAACUUGAAGUCAGCAAAGGUAGUGCAAUGAAGUAUAUCAAUGUAUUACAGGAAUUAUUACUACCUUAGCAAAAGAGUGAAAAAGAAUGACAGAAUAACUGUAUUAUAUACCACUCUUUUUAUACUCCUGUUUCCUACUUACUUGAAUUAUAAGUAAACAGAGCAGGACCUUGCUGGGCAGGGACAUUUUUUUGUGCCACUGUGGCAGUGGCCUGGUUGAUGACUGUGGGUCUUCGUAUUCUGAUAAUACUGUAAAAACUGCAAUAAGCUUUAUUAACUUAUGAUACAUUUAACACUGAAAUCUGUAGGGAGGUAGUCAGCUUAAUAGUGGAAAAAAAAUCGAUCAAUAAAUAGGAAUAUUUUUACAGUUACUCAUUUUGCACACAAAUUAGUUCCUAAUAAUUGAGUGUACACGUAUGUUAUGUAUUUUGUAUUCUGCAAGCUCCUUUGCAACAUGUGGUGUCUGAUACAAAUGACAUGAGUUUUAUGGCUUCUUUGACAUGUUAGAGUGAGAGCUCAUAGCAUUUCUGAUGACUCACAUUGUCACUCGUGAUUUAAUAAUUGAUCUGUACUCUUGAGUGUAAUGAACCCUGUAAUUUAUUAAAAGACGAAAAGUGUUCCCGUAGUUAGUGUGCUGAUGUUUGACAGGAGAAGUUAAUUUUUGAGGUACUACUGCUAUAAAAUCUUGUUGGUAAAUGCAAUUCAUUUUUAUGCUUGGUGAAGCACUUUUUGAUAGCAGUCUGGAUAAAAUAUGAAUACAUAUUUGCGGUGAACUUGUUCUUGAACAAGUUUUGUCUAGUGUCUCUGCCAUCAUUUUUUAAAUGGUUGUGAAAUACACAAGUCGCCUGUAAAAAUCCAAGACACUUCCUCAGUACUUAUAGUGUGGUUCAGUGUUGGUUGAUAAGAAAUGAACAUUUGUCUCUGUAAGUCUGUUCUUCUUGAGCCAAUGACCAAGUGUUUCUGUGACCAUGAAAUUUCUAUAUCAUCCUUUCACUUAGUUACCGUUCAUGCUGUGUGUUGGUGAAGAAAUAUAGGAAGGUAUGUAUUGGCCAAUACUGAGAUAUAUAACCCUAACAAACAAGAAAAGAACUCUGGGGAGAAGAAGGAGGAAGGGUAGGGAAUGGGAAAAAGAUGGGAAAUGAGAGGAAGGGAAG
ensembl:lncRNA